rnacentral:rRNA from 1 species
UAGGAUAGAGGCCUACCAUGGUGGUAACGGGUAACGGGGUGUUAGGGCACGACACCGGAGAGGGAGCCUGAGAAACGGCUACCACAUCCAAGGAUGGCAGCAGGCGCGCAAAUUACCCAAUCCCGACACGGGGAGGUAGUGACAAUAAAUAACAAUACGGGGUUCUUUAGGAUCUCGUAAUUGGAAUGAGUACAAUUUAAAUCUCUUAACGAGGAACAAUUGGAGGGCAAGUCUGGUGCCAGCAGCCGCGGUAAUUCCAGCUCCAAUAGCGUAUAUUAAAGUUGUUGCAGUUAAAAAGCUCGUAGUUGAAUUUCGGGGUUAGUAGGUUGGUCAUGCCUCUGGUAUGUACUGGUCUCACUGAUUCCUCCUUCCUUAUGAACCGUAAUGCCAUUAAUUUGGUGUUGCGGGGAAUUUGGACUGUUACUUUGAAAAAAUUAGAGUGUUUAAAGCAAGCUAACGCUUGAAUACAUUAGCAUGGAAUAAUGAAAUAGGACGUUCGAUCUUAUUUUGUUGGUUUCUAGGAUUGACGUAAUGAUUAAUAGGGAUAGUUCGGGGCAUUAGUAUUCAAUUGUCAGAGGUGAAAUUCUUGGAUUUAUUGAAGACUAACUACUGCGAAAGCAUUUGCCAAGGAUGUUUUCAUUAAUCAAGAACGAAAGUUAGGGGAUCGAAGACGAUCAGAUACCGUCGUAGUCUUAACCAUAAACUAUGCCGACUAGGGAUCGGAUGA